GCGCGGGUGGUGAAAUGGUAGACGCGCUGGCUUCAGGUGCCAGUGUCCGCAAGGACGUGGGGGUUCAAGUCCCCCCUCGCGCACCA
rnacentral:tRNA from 1 species